UCUGGUGACAAUGCCGCGGAGGAAACACCCGUUCCCAUUCCGAACACGAAGGUUAAGCUCCGCAGGGCCGAUGGUACUGCACCAAUUCGGUGUGGGAGAGUAGGUCGUUGCCAGAU
rnacentral:rRNA from 1 species